GAUGAAGAACGUAGCGAAAUGCGAUAAGUAAUGUGAAUUGCAGAAUUCAGUGAAUCAUCGAAUCUUUGAACGCAUCUUGCGCUCCUUGGUAUUCUGAGGAGCAUGCCUGUUUGAGUGUCAUUAAAUUCUCAACUACACUGACUUUGAAUUGGUGUGGCUUGGAUUUGGGGGGAAAAUUGUUGUGGGCUUUUUGUAUAGUCUGCUCCCCUGAAAUUGAUUAGCGGUACCUUUGUGGAACUGUCUACAGGUGUGAUAAUUAUCUACAUCUUAGACAUCUGCUGGAAUGCUGCUUUCUAAACCUUACUUGUAUUGACAAUCUUGACCUCAAAUCAGGUAGGACUACCCGCUGAACUUAAGCAUACAAUAAGCGGAGGA
rnacentral:misc_RNA from 1 species